ACGAACGCUGGCGGCACGCUUAACACAUGCAAGUCGAACGAGAGAAGAGAAGCUUGCUUUUCUGAUCUAGUGGCGGACGGGUGAGUAACACGUGAGCAAUCUGCCUUUCAGAGGGGGAUACCGAUUGGAAACGAUCGUUAAUACCGCAUAACAUAAUUGAACCGCAUGAUUUGAUUAUCAAAGAUUUAUCGCUGAAAGAUGAGCUCGCGUCUGAUUAGCUAGUUGGUAAGGUAACGGCUUACCAAGGCGACGAUCAGUAGCCGGACUGAGAGGUUGAUCGGCCACAUUGGGACUGAGACACGGCCCAGACUCCUACGGGAGGCAGCAGUGGGGAAUAUUGCACAAUGGAGGAAACUCUGAUGCAGCGAUGCCGCGUGAGGGAAGAAGGUUUUAGGAUUGUAAACCUCUGUCUUCAGGGACGAAAAAAGACGGUACCUGAGGAGGAAGCUCCGGCUAACUACGUGCCAGCAGCCGCGGUAAUACGUAGGGAGCGAGCGUUGUCCGGAAUUACUGGGUGUAAAGGGAGCGUAGGCGGGAUCGCAAGUCAGAUGUGAAAACUAUGGGCUUAACCCAUAAACUGCAUUUGAAACUGUGGUUCUUGAGUGAAGUAGAGGUAAGCGGAAUUCCUAGUGUAGCGGUGAAAUGCGUAGAUAUUAGGAGGAACAUCAGUGGCGAAGGCGGCUUACUGGGCUUUAACUGACGCUGAGGCUCGAAAGCGUGGGGAGCAAACAGGAUUAGAUACCCUGGUAGUCCACGCCGUAAACGAUGAUUACUAGGUGUGGGGGGACUGACCCCUUCCGUGCCGCAGCAAACGCAAUAAGUAAUCCACCUGGGGAGUACGACCGCAAGGUUGAAACUCAAAGGAAUUGACGGGGGCCCGCACAAGCAGUGGAGUAUGUGGAUUAAUUCGAAGCAACGCGAAGAACCUUACCAGGUCUUGACAUCGUAUGCAUAGCUCAGAGAUGAGUGAAAUCUCUUCGGAGACAUAUAGACAGGUGGUGCAUGGUUGUCGUCAGCUCGUGUCGUGAGAUGUUGGGUUAAGUCCCGCAACGAGCGCAACCCUUACUGUUAGUUGCUACGCAAGAGCACUCUAGCAGGACUGCCGUUGACAAAACGGAGGAAGGUGGGGAUGACGUCAAAUCAUCAUGCCCCUUAUGACCUGGGCCUCACACGUACUACAAUGGCUGUCAACAGAGGGAAGCAAAACCGCGAGGUGGAGCAAACCCCUAAAAGCAGUCUUAGUUCGGAUUGUAGGCUGCAACCCGCCUACAUGAAGUCGGAAUUGCUAGUAAUCGCAGAUCAGCAUGCUGCGGUGAAUACGUUCCCGGGCCUUGUACACACCGCCCGUCACGCCAUGGGAGUCGGUAACACCCGAAGCCUGUAGUCUAACCGCAAGGAGGACGCAGUCGAAGGUGGGAUUGAUGACUGGGGUG
rnacentral:rRNA from 1 species